ensembl:lncRNA
AAAUGUAGGUACAUCCCUAACUGCCUGCAGGUGGGGAGGUGGCAGGAAGCACUGGCUUUGAGACCCUGAAGAAUAAGUAGCAAUCUUGAUGCCUGCCUGUAGGCCCCUGGCUCCCCUCCUCACCUGCAUGUUAGAAUCCUGUUGCCUGGGCUGCACCCCAGACCAAUUAAGGGAGGAUCUCUGCAGGUGGAUUCCAGGUAGCAGUAGUUUUAAAGCUCCCCAGGUAAAUUCAGGGUGCAGCCAAGGCUGAGCAGAUGAUGCUUUAGAGGGCUUUGAAAGUCUCCACUUCUUCUACUGGCUGAAUGAAUGGUACCUAGGGUUCCAUAACCUAUACUUUUAUUCGGUUUGCUUAAACAUAGCAAGGACUCAAGCAUCAUGCUAAAAGUAAUUAUAUCUGACUUAGUAUGAAGUGGAUUAAGCGCUCUGCCAAGAGCCAGUAUUAACUGGCAGAUAUUGGGGUGGGAACAGGGAAUAGGAUCUCUGGAAAGCUGAGGGCAGGAGCGGCUCACUAGGGCAGAAGACACAUGGAAACAAAUGGCAUGAAAAUAAUGAAGAACCUACUUCGAUUUCAAGCAGUGUCAAGCGUCUUGUUGCUCUUGGAAAUGAGGCCUUGCAGAAGCAUCACCAAGACCUGGUUGACUUCCCCCAAAGCUCAAGAUUCUUGAACACGUGCUACAUCUUCAAAAUGCAGGAUGAGGAAAAAAAGGUCCUUCACUUGUUACUGUAACCAAAAGUCAGUUAAGUUCAUUUGCAAAAUGAUACAUAUUUUUAAGGGGGGGAAAAAAAAACUUUCAAAAAGAGAAUGGACUAAAAUCACUCCAAAUUCCAAACCUCUCUGACCUCUAUUCCACACAUGGGGCUGGGGCAGCCAGAAAAGAGACAGAUGGGAUACUUGUGGAAGGAUGAACUUGGACCCUCACACCAUAUGCAAAAAAUUAACUAAACUGGAUUAGUACCUCAAAUGGGAGGGCUAAGCUAUUAAACACUCAGAAUAAAACAUAGAAAUAGAUCUUCAUGACAUUGGGUUUGAUGAUGGAUGCUGAGAUAGGACACCCAAAGCACAAGCAAUGAAAGGAAAAAAUAAAUGGGAUUUCAUCAAAAUAAAAACUAAAAAAGCACUACCAAGUGGAGUUGCUAUCAUGGCUCAGCAGAAACAACCGCAACCUCAUGGUUCCUAGUCGGAUUCGUUAACCACUGCGCCAUGACAGGAACUCCAGAAAAAUAAAAAUCUUUUUAAAAAAGAUAUGGUACAUAUAUGCAAUGGACUACCACUCAGCCCUGAAAAGGAAUGAAAUAAUGCCAUUUGCAGCAACAUGGAUCAGCUAGAGAUUUUCUUUCUGACUUAUUUCACUUAGGAUGAGAAAGACAAAUACCAUAUGAUAUCACUUAAAUGUGGAAUCUAUGGCUCUUUAAUGCAGAUUAGGUAUUUCUCUCAUAUGUAUUUUCAUUUUAUUCUUGAUAUGCAGACAUGCUUUUCUCUGGAUGCAUAAUUGUAUUUCUUAGCAAAUUUUGCUUUAAUACCAGUAAAGAGAUGUAACCAGCAUGCAAAUAUACACCCCCACUGGGUCUAUAUGCCCGUGGAUAAAGCCUUACCUUUUUGUGAUAAGCUGUGCUGAUCAUAGGAGACAGUAGCAUGGAUCGACAUGAAUUUUUUUUUUUUUUUAAGUGUGGUUGUCGGAUUUUGUCAGCAUGUUUAUUUCUCUGUGUUCUUUGGGCAGAUGGGAAUUUUAGUCUUCAUAACCUAAGCACAGACCAGUUCAUAUCACUAGGAAAUGUCCCAAGCACAUGCUAGAUUUUCAAGGACUGCCAGUCUGGAGAAAGAUUUUGCAAUGGAUAAAUGACACCAAUGAUCAAGUGCUGAUGGAAAAGGGAUGGUGGGAUGUGAUAAACAAAUCAGAUUGUUGAGAGUAUGUUAGGUUUGGGUUUUAUCCCAUUCAUCUGCUCCCUCCAGCUCUUCUGGAAAUCCGACUGGAUACCUCUGCUCUCAGGAAAGUUCUGCACUGCCCUAGCCAUUCCUGGGGGAGGGAGCGUUGGGUCUCCCUGACCGCCACCGAGGCUCCUUUGUGAGCAGGAUGGAGACAGAGGCUCUGGACCUGCUGGGCUGGACUCAGCCAGAGGAAGCGUUUCUGAAUUCUCUGACUGGCAGCAGCCCUGGCUGCUCCUCUUCUUCCCUCAGAAAAUAGGAAGAGUCAGGAAUUCCCGUCAUAGAGCAGCAGAAGCAAAUCUGAGUAGGAACCAUGAGGUCGCAGGUUCAAUCCCUGGCUUCGCUUAGUUGGCUUAAGGAUCUGGCAUUGCCAUGAGCUGUGGUGUAAGUCUCAGACAUGGCUUGGAUCUGGCAUUGCUGUGGCUGUGGUGUAGGCCGGCAGCUGUAGAUCCGAUUCGACCCCUAGCCUGGAAUCCUCCAUAUGCCACAGGUGCGGCCCUAAAAAGACAAAAAGACGAAGAAAGAGGAAAAAACGAAGAGGCAGCUUUAGUCCCGAGUUGGAAAGAGACUCUUGUAGAACGUUCUGUCAAUUGAGCAAUUUCCCUAUUGGUUCACGUCAUGAUUUUUCUCCAAGUCAUCCGAAAGGAGCUCUCCUGUUUGGUGGCUGCAGGGUAAGGAGAGUUGAGGAUACAUCAGAGUGAAAGGAAAAUACCACAUUCUCAGUCCAUUCAUCAACAGGUAUUUAUCAAAGUGUUACCAUGUGCAAAAGCUCUAAGAGGCUUCCCCAGAGAAGACUGACUGAGACCCUGCCUGCAGAGUUCACUGCAGUCUGUCUGGGGAAAUGGUGCCUGUUUUAGUAUAAGGACUGAAAUGAUGAAUAUCCUAAGGAAAAGGAAUAAAAACCAUAGGCAUUCACAGCUUCCCCCCCUCCCAAUAAAGUACUUCUGAUUGAGAAAGUUGUAGCACAGAAGGAUUAAGGAGAGAAUGAUGGAAAAAGUAGGAUUUGAGUGGGUCUUAUUAGAUCCAACUUGAUUUUUUUAUUUUUUCCUUUUGUUUUUAGGGCCGUACUCAUGGCACACGGAAGUUCUCAGGCUAGGGGUGGAAUCAGAGCUGCAGCUGCCAGUCUACACCACACACAGGGAUCUGAGCUGUGUCUGCGACCUACACCACAGCUCAGGGGCAAUGCCGGAUCCCCAGUCCACUGAGCAGGGCCAGGGAUCAAACCCAUAUCCUCGUGGAUGCUAGUCCGGUUCAUUAACCACUGAGCCGCGACAGGAACGGGAGCUUUCAGAGAUGAAGAGAGAAGCCCAGUUUGGCUGGUACAACAUGCAGAAGGGGAGAAGAUGGAAAUGUGUUGGGGCCAGAUGAUGAAGGCCUUAAGCAUCCGACUUUAGAUUUUCAGCAAGCCGUAGGAACAAGCAAAGGUAUGGCAUGGAGAAAGAUGUAAUAUUUACAUUAGGAUCCAACAGCGAUGGUGGCUCAGAUGCCUUUCAAGGAGAGGACUGAAGGCAAGAAGACCAAUUAGCAGGCUGCCGGGAGAACUGAGUCUGAACCAGCAUGGCAGCGUGGGAAGAGAGUGCAGGCUUGAUGGGACUUGACAACUGACGGGUUACGGAAGAACGAGAAGACAGUGGUGCCUUCAGCAUGAAUCAGAAAUCGAAGAGGAGGACCAGUUAGGGGGUAGGGGUGGGGGUGGAAUACAAGUUUUGAAACAGACAUUAUUUAUAUUGCAUCUAUCCACCAGCCUGUUGGGGAAGAUGCCGUGACCACCGAUUUAAGAACCAUAUGCAAUACAGGAGAAUUAUUACAGAAAGAUGGGAGUUCCUGUCAUGGCACAGUGGAAACGAAUCUGACUAGGAGCCAUGAGGUUGCGGGUUUGAUCCCUGGCCUUGCUUGGUGGGUUAAGGAUCCGGUGUUGCCAUGAGCUGGUGUAGGUCGCAGAUGCGGUUCUGAUCUGGCGUGGCUGUGGCAGUGGUGUAGGCUGGCAGCUGUAGCUCCAAUUAGACCCCUAGCCUGGGAGCCUCCAUAUGCCACUGGUACAGCCCUGGUAAAAAAAAAAGGAAAUUAUCAAAGAAAGAGAAGAGUGUUAAGCAUGUAACCUUGAGGAGUAUAUAUCCUAGGGUUAGAAGGAAUAACGGCAAGGGACAAAGGCUAAGAAAGAGGAACAGCAGUGAUAAAAGGAACACCAGCUAUAGUACCAUCUCAGAAAUCAAGAGUACUGGGACAUUUUGGUUGCAAGAGACAAAUAAAACUUAGAGUGAUUUAAGGGGGAAAAAAAAGAAUAUAUAUUACUUUUCUGUUGCUAAAAAACAGAUGAUCGUAAACUUAGUGGUUUAAAAGCACCAUUUUUUCAGGUCAGAAGUCUGGCCAUGGCUCAGCUAGAUUCUCCACUCAGGCUGAAGUCAAGGUAUUAGCAGAAGUGCAUUCUCAUCUGGGGCUCCAGUCCUUUUCCAAAAAGUCAUGUGGUUAUUGGCGGAAUUUAUUUCCUUGUGGCUGUAGGACUUGAGGCCCUUGUUCUCCUGCUGGUUAUGGGAUGGGCAGCACUCUCAGCUCCUGGUGCCCAUCCCCAGCUCCUUGCCACGUGGAGCUACUACCCCCAUGCUCCUGGCCAAACGUGUUCUUUCUCGUUUUGAAUCUCACUCCUGGAAAAGUCUGUCCCUUUGAAGGGCUCACCUGCUUCAGUGAGGUUCACCAAAGGAGAAUCUUUCCAUUUUAAGGUCCAUUCGUGUAGGACCUUAACUUGAUCUGCAACAUCCUUUCAGAGCAGCAGCAGACAUACUUUAAGCCUGUUGCCUGCUCUGGAGCUUCAGUCUCGUGUGGGCUUUCCUUACAGGUGGGUUUUUUUUUUUUGUUUUUUUUAAAAAAAAAAAAAAAAAAAAAGCUCUCGCAAGUUCCUGUUGUGAUGCAGCGGAAACAAAUCUGACUAGUAUCCAUGAGGAUAUGGAUUCCAUCCCUGGCCUCGCUCCAGGGCUUGAGGAUCCAGCAUUGCCAUGAGCUGUGAUGUAGGUCUCAGACGCAGCUCUGAUGUGGCAUUGCUGUGGCUGUAGCUCCGAUUCGACCCCUAGCCUGGGAACUUGCUAUGUGUGUGGCACUAAAAAAGAAAAAAAAAAAAAAAAAA